UACGGAGGGCGCAAGCGUUGUUCGGAAUUACUGGGCGUAAAGCGCGUGUAGGCGGCCAGGUAAGUCGGGUGUGAAAUCCCGGGGCCCAACCCCGGAACUGCACUCGAUACUGCCCGGCUGGGGUCCCGGAGAGGAUGGCGGAAUUUCCGGUGUAGAGGUGAAAUUCGUAGAUAUCGGAAGGAACACCAGUGGCGAAGGCGGCCAUCUGGACGGUGACUGACGCUGAGACGCGAAAGCGUGGGGAGCAAACAGG
rnacentral:rRNA from 1 species